rnacentral:rRNA from 1 species
GACGAAGGUGGCAAGCGUUACUCGGAAUUACUAGGCGUAAAGCGUGGGUAGGCGGUUCGGCAAGUCUGUUGUGAAAGCUCCCGGCUUAACUGGGAGAGGCCAAUGGAUACUACCGGACUUGAAUGUGGGAGAGGUCACUGGAAUUCCUGGUGUAGCGGUGAAAUGCGUAGAGAUCAGGAGGAACACCGAUGGCGAAAGCAGGUGACUGGACCACUAUUGACGCUGAGCCACGAAAGCUAGGGGAGCAAACAGG